CGGCCGAUGGCAGAUUAGGUAGUUGGUGGGAUAAAAGCUUACCAAGCCGACGAUCUGUAGCUGGUCUGAGAGGACGACCAGCCACACUGGGACUGAGACACGGNCCAGACUCCUACGGGAGGCAGCAGUGGGGAAUUUUGGACAAUGGGGGCAACCCUGAUCCAGCAAUGCCGCGUGUGUGAAGAAGGCCUUCGGGUUGUAAAGCACUUUUGUCCGGAAAGUGACGGUACCGGAAGAAUAAGCACCGGCUAACUACGUGCCAGCAGCCGCGGUAAUACGUAAGGUGCGAGCGUUAAUCGGAAUUACUGGGCGUAAAGCGUGCGCAGCCGGUUAUGUAAAACAGAUGUGAAAUCCCCGGGCUCAACCUGGGAACUGCAUUUGUGACUGCAUGGCUAGAGUACGUUAGAGGGGGAUGGAAUUCCGCGUGUAGCAGUGAAAUGCGUAGAU
rnacentral:rRNA from 1 species